GUGAAUCAUCGAAUUUUUGAACGCAAAUUGCACUUUCUGGUAUUCCGGAAAGUAUGCCUGUUUGAGGGUCAGUUAAAUAAAAAUAGGUGUUGUUGCUGCCUUUUGUGGGUACGCGUCGGAUUUGAGUGGACUUACCCUCGGUUAAUCUUCUUAAAAUUUUUUCAUGAUUUUCGAACGUAUUUAAAUCGUUUACGUACGUUUGAGAUAUCGACAGCUUAUUUGGUUUUGUUUUU
rnacentral:misc_RNA from 1 species